GGAGGGCCAACCCGACGGAUGGCGACGGGAACUGUCUUGAAAACAGCCGAGGCGCAAGCCCUUGGGAGUUCGAUCCUCCCGCCCUCCGC
rnacentral:tRNA from 3 species